ensembl:lncRNA
GUUAUGACAGGUCAUGAUGCCCUCAGUCAGCAUGGCCUCAAGGUUGAGGAAACCACCAUGGGCCGGUCGGACUUUAGAGAAGGUGGGUGAGAUGGGAAUUUAACUAUCAAAGCCCCUUCUGACCGCUCCCCAUUGGGCUCCUCUCAGAUCCACCUUCCCGGCCAGUGCUGAGCGUAGAUCCCCCAUCGGGAGUGGUGAGCGAAGGGCUCACGCUGCUCAUCAGCUGCAUAGCCCCCAGUGAUGCCAGCGAUCGGAGGUUCCACUUCUACAAGGAUGGAGACGAGCUCGUUCCUGGGGACGCUGGGUCUGAGAUCAGCACCACAGAGCCCAGCACCGGCUCUAUGAACGUCUCUGUGCUCAGCAUCCCACGGGCCGGUCCCAACAACACCGGGGAAUUCACCUGCGGGUACGAGGAGAACGUGAGGGGGAGGUGGAUCCCGUCCCCCAGGAGCCAUGCUGUGACCGUGAACAUCACAGCGACAGGUGAGUUUCCCUAUCCAGAGAGUGUCUGCCCAGCUCCGAUAGAUAGAGUAUUACUCUUGGUUCCUGACCAGUCCCUUGUCACCUUUUCUCUUCUCUCACAAGCAGCCUGGGCCCAAUCUAGAAACUUGCUGCCGGCAUGUGGGAUCCUCAUGGUUCCGGGCAUGGCUCUGGCUGCCCUCGUGUGCUACUGCAGGAGGAACAAGAGAGUUCCGGAGCCUUCGCAAUAUCUGAGGGGAUCUGAGCCCGGGGAAGGCGAUGGGGAACUGGACUCCAGGAGGUGCCAUGAGGAAUUGAAAUCCAGCAGUGUCAGAGUGGACCUACCAGAAGAGGUAACAGGGAUCUCUUAACAACAGAAUUUCAAACACGUCCACAAUCCAGAGCCUCCUUGAGCCUGCAAAUUCCUUGCAGAGAAAAUCGCUUGGGGGGGGAAAUGAGAGUAGCUGAAAUGCACAUUAGCUCCAUCAACCUGCCAUUCCUGCUGGGGCUGUAACCAUGGGGGAUAACUGUGCAAAAUUCCACAGCUCCAUCAGCUCCCUUCUGUCCCACCCUCACCAUAGUCACACUGAGCAGCACUUUGGGACAGGAAGUGAAGGAGAACCCUGUAUCCAAUAGACACUGCAGGUGGGGCUCAGAGGCAGGAUGGAUCCGCUGAUUUAGGGAUGUGCUCAGAACACCUGGGUUCCAUCCCCAGCUUGGGGGAAGUUCCCAGUGAACAUCAAUGAGUGGGGGAGGCCAUUCUGUGUCUCAUUAACUCCCCUUUGGCAGAGAUUGGAGUGGAAGGGGAUGUUAGAAACUGACGGCAGUUGUGGAACUGCCACAAAGCAGGGGGUGACACACAGCGCAGGAGAAUCCAGCAUCCGGUACACGACAGAGCAGGGCAGAAUGGGAUAAGAGAAGGGGUGAGGGCUGGACACCGGGGUUCACAGCGUGACUCGUGGGGGGCGAAGCACCAGGGGAUGGUUAAUGAUCAGGAUCAGGUUGAGGGGCUGGUUUGAUAUCUCAUUAGCGCCCCCUUGGAGGGAACGGUGAAUGUGCCUCUCCCCUCCAUGGCUCCCCUGCUGCCCCAUUCACUCUGUCUCUUCCUCCCCAGGGCUCUGAUGUGUACACACUCCUGACCUUCCCCUCCUCUGCAACGCCCUGAGCACCGGGGAUGGCGACUAGAGCAUUGGGAACAGAGGGGGUACUGCACUGCGAGGGGCUGCCCCGGCACAUCCAGGGAGCCACUCGGUGAGAGGCACGGAGGGAACAUGGAAAUCCAAAUCAGGGGCCCUUUAACAUUCAGGGCUCAGACACCCCAGCCUGGCCGCCUCUCCCUGUGGCCGAUCAUCCAACUGCCCUCAUACACACACGGACAGGGUCCCAUCUCCUCCAGCAGGGGGCAGCAGGGACACACACACACACACACACAGAAGGUCCCAUCUCCUCCAGCAGGGGGAAGAAUUGACACACACACAUGCACACGGAGAAGGUCCCAUCCCCUCUAGAAGGGGGUGAGAGGAACAUACACACACGCACACAAACACACACAUGCACACACAGAGUUCCUACCAUUCUUAACCUUUAUCACUGUCUCUUGCUUUUGUUGCAUUUGCUGUUCCAUUAACAUUCAUUCUCCAAGGACAGAGAAUAAACUCAAUUUCAAUUAGAAAGGCGUGACUGUU